ACCACCGAGAAGGUCUGCAGCUUCACUGCAGAAGCCAGUGAGACCACAAACCUACCGAAAGUAAGAAACUCUGGACACAUGUGAACAUCUGAGGGAACAAACUCCGGACACACCAUCUUUCAGAACUGUAACACUCACCGCGAGCGUCGGCGGCUUGGUUCUUGAAGUCAGCGAGACCAAGAACCCACCAAUUCCGAACACUCUCCCUCUGAUGAAGUACCUCAAAAGCUAAGCUCCCAUCAAUCCUGGAGAGAUAGAAUCAGCAGAGCAUAGUGGCAGAAUGAAUGGUUUAAAAGGAACAGCAGCGACCAAAGAACUUUUUAUGCAGAGAAACCCCAAAUCUGGGGCAAAGCCCUCCUGUUCAUUUUAUCUCACACAAGACCAAGUGACCCCAGCUGCAGCCGGAGUGCUCACAGUAAACUGAAAUUACAUGAAUGACACCCAGGGAAAGACGCUUGUAUUAUAAAGAGGCUACAUUUCUAUUUGGUUUACUGAUGUAUUAAUUUUUCAAAGUUUGGAAUCUCUUCAAAUACAAGAGCCUAUGAAUAUUGCCUUAUCCAGAAAAAGGGUCUUUGGAGAUAUAAUUAUGUUUCUUCAGAAGAGGAGCUUAUCUUGGAUUAUUCAAGUAGCUUCCAAAUGCAAUGACAGAUCUUUGUAAGAGAUGCAUAGAGGAGACAGAUGUACAGGAGGAAGCCAAGUGAAGACAGAGGCAAAGAUGAGUGAUCCAGUCACAAGCUUCUGACUGCCAUCAGAAGCUGGAAGAGAGAUGGGGUCUCGCUAUGUUGCCCAGUCUGGUCUCAAACUCCUAGCCUCAAGUGAUCCUUCUCCCUUGGCCUCCCAAAGUGCUGGGAUUACAAGCAUGAGCCACGAUGGCUGGCCCUGAAUUUGGACUUCCGGCCAAAAAACUAUUCAUUCAUAGCUGCUACACAUUCAUCUCUAUAUAAAACCUACUCUCCCCUCUGAAAAAGCAGCAUAACCAGUCAACGAACAAGUAUAUAGGAUUAGCACAUUAUGAAGAAUAAAGAGAAGCUUUCAGCUCUCCGUCAUGGAUGAUAUUUAUCACAUUUUCCACGACUGGCUCUAAUAACAGUGCAGAGAUAAAAUAGGCUUGAUGCAUCUUUCCUGUACAGAGAAUUUUACAACAGCAACUGUAAGAAAUUCAGGAGAUGAAACACUUCUCCCCUCUUGCAGUUUUUAUUAGUCUUAAAAAUGGGAGGUGGGUGUGUGGGGGAGACUGUUUCUACAAAAGUGGGCUUGAAUUUUCUGUCUGUUAUGCUAAUGUAUUCAUAGAAAAAGCUGGUGCUGAGGGCGGUUCUCCAAUUAAGACAAAUGAGGCACAUUGAAUUUCUCCCCCAGGGCACAGCAGGGGUGCUGGCAAAAUCUACUUUAUUCUUUUCUGUCAGGACUGAACUGGAAACAAAAGCAUGAAAAUUCAACACAUCCACUUACAGAAUAAUAAAGGCUGUUGUUUAAAGC
ensembl:lncRNA LINC02240 long intergenic non-protein coding RNA 2240